AGAAGAUCUGCCCUUGCUCUGUCCUCCUGUCUGUCACCAAGACCUCAGCUUGCUUUGUAGGUCUCAACUCUUGGCUUUGUAGGGUUGGGGGGAGCCCGGGGGUAAAGGAAGAAGGGGGUAUAGGCUGGGAUGGCCCUUGGCAGCCCCUCCCUUCUGAUGCCAAAUCUGACCUGUUCACCCAGCUAGCUUCUUCUUGCACCUCUUGCUUUCUCCAUUUCCAAACCAUUUCAGGGGAAGGGAGAUUGGUUCAUCAGAGUCCACACCGCGGUGGUGGAAGCUGCACCAUGGUGGCCGCUACCAUCAUCUGGGGGUAGGGAACUCACUCAGUGGGGACAGAAUGCCUGAGGUUGCCAGAGAGAGGCAGCGGGGGAAGCUGAAAGGUAUCCACAAAGCUGUGAGCAGGUGAUUUGCCUGCAGGGCCGAGGAGACAAGUGUGCACAGCGCCACCUAGGCCCAGAUGAAGGAAGCACAACUCCUGUAAGACUUGAGGACUGUUCCGUUUCGGAGAACCUGAUGGAGCGGGUGUGUGGCAGUGUGGGGCAUGGGGAUGGGCACAGUCUGGUGUCGCUGGUGGAAGUGACAUAGAAAUCGGCUGUCGGGUGCCCACAGUGCCUUGCCACUCGGUCUCACAAAGGCCAGCGCCCCCUGGAGGACAUGUGCGCCAAUUUGCCUGCUGCCUUGCUCCUUCUACACCAGCUGAGGCGAGGCCCGGGCACAGCGCACCACACUUGAAGCUUCGGUGAAAGUUUAAAGGAUGCCCCUGGGAUGGUGGUCAGAAUCCUGACUGUAGAUGGAUUCUUCCCAGGGAACCACGAAUAAGUUGAAACGCUUGAUCCUGCUUCCCUGCGUGCUUCUGGUUGUCUCCUGUUCAUGUCUUAGACCUGGUAGAUCUUCACAAUGUUACUCGAACAAUGACCAAUGAGAAGCUAGCACAGCCGCAGCCAGGUGGAAAGCUGAAGGGAGCGGUCGCUGCCUUGGACCUGUGCAGACCAGGCAGGCGCAUCAAGAGCUGCUCCUUCUCGACUUCCUCUCUCGGCUUCUGUAGCAGAGCCCGACUUGUCCCUUUCAUGGGCUGGGCAGCUCUGGGUGACCUGUAGUUUGGCUAUGUCCUCUAUCCUGAUUUCAGGCUGCCUAGGCCAGGUUAAUUUCAGCCAGGUGACUCCAACAGUUUGCUUUACGUUUUAUUUUUGCCCCAGUUUUCCCACCCACUGCUCCAGGUAUAAAUACCGAGUCUCCUGUCUCUGGAAGGUGAUCAAAGACAUGAUGGCCUUCCUGUCAUUGCGGUCCAUAAAUGGGACUCUACAGCUGAUCAGAGUGAAGGCAGCAAUCCUAUGCAUAACCUCCUGUCCUAAGGUGGCAACUGUCCAGCUGGGUCCCAUUCUCUCUAAGUAAAGUCACGUCCCAGGGAAGUUAUUCCCAUUGGUGUUCCUAACCCCUGGACAUUAACAGCGACUAAUCCUGCCCUCUAUUAAUGCCAUGGUGACACUCAGCCCCUCUUGUCCAUUAUUGCCCCGUAGCUUCUUCAUGGAGGCCUUGGGAAAUGUAGAUGAGGAAAGUCCCAAAUCCGAGACUGGCCACUCAGUUCUGACUUACACAGUGAGAUUUCCACGUAGGUCAGCCUGAGGUUGUUAGCCGCUUGCCUGAGAAAGCCUUCCCAGCGCAUGCUUGGUUAAGGCUGGUAGAGCAUUCCAUCUGCCACAGAGGCCAAGAGUUUCUUAAGUGGACUGGAACUUCUGUGUAUCUGGGGAGGCCCCAUGGGGGCUGUAUGGGGUUUCUCAGAAGGCAGGCACUGGGACCCCAUAGUUUCCACGGCUGAGUGGGCUCCAGUCCCUCAGGAAUGGCAGAAGGGAAAUGAAGAGGGCAGAGAGGAAUGGCUGAGGACGACCCUCACUGAAGACCGUUCCUUCAGCUCUGAAGAGUCAGCAUUAGUGCUAUGUGAGGAAGAGAUGCUGGGGGCAGCCAAUGGUCUGAGAGAGCUGCGGUGACAGGAACCAGGACACAGCUGCAAAGGUAUAGAUGGCGGGGGGGGGGGGGGGGAGGGAGGACACUAAGGCUCGGAGGAGACGGAGAUCUGAGCCUGCAGUGAGGGACCUGAGCUGAGGUGAGAUCAGCACGGAAGGAUGCACACCACUGACUCCACAGGCUGUGUGGUAGGAGGGUCUGUCCUGACCCAGUGCUGUCUGUCUGUGUGCAAAGAAGUCCUCAGGGGGCCACCUAACCAUCAGCCUUCUGCCUCAGUGGAGAUUCUGCCUGCCCAUUUCCUUCUAAAGGGCAGGGUUUGGGGGCACACGCGAUGGACCACACUCCAGAGGCAUCAGCAAUCAAACCUGUCACUACGCGCUUGAUCUAGGGUUGCUGCUGAGGAGUUACUAGUUCAUCACGUGGCUGUGCCGAGGAGCCACAGAGAAGCCUCGUUCAAAGUGUAGUGCAAACAACUUGUAGCAAGCCUGAAAGCUGCUGUAAUUGCAGACUGUUGACACUGGUCAUGUGUACACACCUGUGCCCAUGUACAAGCACAGACUCACCUGCAUGCUGUUGUCUUACCCACUGUGAGGUGGAGGCUAGUGCUGGGACACACACCAGCUCAUGUGAUCCAGCUUCCUUUUCUUUCUCCUCCCUCAGCCCCAAACCCUAAUAAUGACCAUUUAUUGAGCACCUAGUGUGUGGCAGGCAAGAUUCAUCAAUUUGCACCAAUGUUGUAGGGGUAGAGGAGCUGACUUUCCAAACAUGGCCAAACCGUAUCAAUCCUGUUGAUUAUUACUGUCUGUGGUAGGUGCAAGAAGGGAGUACUGAUAAAGGUGCUUCGUGUGUGCCUUCAUUUGUGAGGCAUAUAAUAUUAUAUGCUUUUUAUUUAAUCAUGGGUCAUUUAGUAAGUUGCCUCCAAACCUUUGUGGAAUAAGACUUUGUGUAACUAAGUAAUGACCAUUCAUUAUAAAUAAGUAUUGAGUG
ensembl:lincRNA Gm13003 predicted gene 13003